GGGGGCAGGUUGAAGGUGCCAGUUAAUAUACUGCGCGACACAGCGGCCUUUGAUUCCUUCAUUCAGGCUUCUGUGUUGCCUUUUUCCGCUGAGACUCACACAGGUUGUUGGGUGCCUGUUGUAGGUAUGGAAAUGAAUGUUUUGCAAGUCCCUCUGCACAAAAUCACAUUACACUCUGAUCUCUUCCAAGGCGAGAUAGCUGUGGGUGUGAGGCCGGCGCUGCCUGUUGAGGGGGUCACUCUGAUCCUAGGGAACGGUGCUGCAGGUGAGCGUGUGUGGGGUGAUGUGGCCCCGUCUCCAGUGGUUUCCUCAGUUCCCCUGGUGAGGAAGCAGCCUGAUGAGGAUGAAAUAAGUUUCCCCGAAGUGUUCACAGCGUGUGCGGUGACGCGGUCUAUGUCCCAACAUUCUCCACCAGAGCCGCCUGAGUGUGGCGUGGGUGAUGGUGAGGCAGUAGAUGGGUUGUGUUUCUCCCUGUCUGAUGUUUCCCUUUCAGUUACGCAGGAAGAGUUGGAGAGUGAGCAGCGAGCCGACGCGUCCCUGAAGGGACUGUUUGACAUGGUGUUGCCUGCGUCGGAGGGGAUCCCGUCCUCCAGAUUGUCCUGCCUUCGAAGCUCCGGGAGACGGUGCUUCGCCGGGCCCAUGAUGACUCGGGUCACUGGGGGGUUGUAUGCUGCAGGGGUAUUGGCAAAGAAAAACUUGGGUACUGCACAGAGUAAGAUGAAGACACUGUAUGACCGGAGGGCUGAGAAGCGUGUGUUCAGUGAGGGGGACCGGGUCUUGGCGUUACUUCCCAUCAUUACUUCUCCAUUUCAGGCGAAGUAUGGAGGUCCCUAUGAAAUAAAGAAAAAAACGUCUGAACAUAACUACAUCAUUGCUACGCCUGAUCGUAGACGGAGUGUCCAGAUGUGUCAUGUCAACUUAUUGAAACCUUACUAUGAACGUGUCCCUCCAGGUGAAGCUGUCUCCGCCUCCUCUCUGCCUGCGCGGCCUGUGUGUUCUGUGAGUAGAGUGUCUGUGGUUUACCCUCCACAGUCGGUGCCUGCCGGGGUGGAGGAUGGUCUGCCCGACGCUGAUGCUGGGGUGCAGCAAGGUCGUUUAAAAAACUCUGAGUCCUUGAACAAAUUACAUCUUCUGUUGGGCCAUCUGUCUGAGUCACAACAAGCCGACCUAGUUGAAGUGAUAAGUUCCUUCCCAUCUCUGUUUGGUGACACUCCUACUCAAACAAAUGUAAUUGAACAUGAUAUAGAUGUAGGUGAUGCACUCCCAAUUCGCCAAAGGUUUUACCGCGUUAGUCCUGAAAAACGUGUGUCCCUUGAUGCGGAAGUGAAGUAUAUGUUGGAUAAUUGUAUUGCUGUUCCUCCUUUUCCAGUUGGGCAUCUCCCUGCAUUUUAGUGCGAAGCCAGACAAAACAUUCAGGUUCUGCACUGAUUUUCGCAAGCUAAAUGCUGUAACGAAACCAGA
ensembl:lncRNA